rnacentral:ncRNA from 3 species
UACGAAGGGUGCAAGCGUUAAUCGGAAUUACUGGGCGUAAAGCGCGCGUAGGUGGUUUUGUAAGUUGGAGGUGAAAUCCCCGGGCUCAACCUGGGAACUGCCUCCAAAACUGCAUGACUAGAGUACGGUAGAGGGUAGUGGAAUUUCCUGUGUAGCGGUGAAAUGCGUAGAUAUAGGAAGGAACACCAGUGGCGAAGGCGACUACCUGGACUGAUACUGACACUGAGGUGCGAAAGCGUGGGGAGCAAACAGG